GACGAACGCUGGCGGCGUGCUUAACACAUGCAAGUCGAGCGGAGCGGCGAACGGGUGAGUAACGCGUGAGUAACUGCCCCCCUCUCUGGGAUAACAGUUGGAAACGGCUGCUAAUACCGGAUAGUGGGGGAUGAAUCGCGUCCUAUCAGACUGUUGGUGGGUUAGUGGCCUACCAAGGCGACGACGGGUAGCCGGCCUGAGAGGGCGACCGGCCAGCUUGGGCUGAGAUACGGCCCAAACUGCUUCUGUAGGAAUCAGUGGGAAAUAAUGCACAAUGGGGGAAACCCUGAUGCAGCAACGCCGCGUGGGGGAUGAAGGCUUUCGGGUUGUAAACCUCUUUCGAUAUCGAAAGGGUAGGUGGAGAAGAAGCGCCGGCUAACUACGUGCCAGCCGCCGCGGUAAUAC
rnacentral:rRNA from 1 species